rnacentral:rRNA from 1 species
AGUGAACGCUGGCGGUAGGCCUAACACAUGCAAGUCGAACGGCAGCACAGUAAGAGCUUGCUCUUACGGGUGGCGAGUGGCGGACGGGUGAGGAAUACAUCGGAAUCUACUUUUUCGUGGGGGAUAACGUAGGGAAACUUACGCUAAUACCGCAUACGACCUACGGGUGAAAGCAGGGGAUCUUCGGACCUUGCGCGAUUGAAUGAGCCGAUGUCGGAUUAGCUAGUUGGCGGGGUAAAGGCCCACCAAGGCGACGAUCCGUGGCUGGUCUGAGAGGAUGAUCAGCCACACUGGAACUGAGACACGGCCCAGACUCCUACGGGAGGCAGCAGUGGGGAAUAUUGGACAAUGGGCGCAAGCCUGAUCCAGCCAUACCGCGUGGGUGAAGAAGGCCUUCGGGUUGUAAAGCCCUUUUGUUGGGAAAGAAAAGCAGCAGGUUAAUACCCCGCUGUUCUGACGGUACCCAAAGAAUAAGCACCGGCUAACUUCGUG